AUUGAACGCUGGCGGAAUGCUUUACACAUGCAAGUCGAACGGCAGCACGGACUUCGGUCUGGUGGCGAGUGGCGAACGGGUGAGUAAUGUAUCGGAACGUGCCCAGUCGUGGGGGAUAACGUAGUGAAAAUUACGCUAAUACCGCAUACGAUCUAUGGAUGAAAGCGGGGGAUCGCAAGACCUCGCGCGAUUGGAGCGGCCGAUAUCAGAUUAGGUAGUUGGUGGGGUAAAGGCCCACCAAGCCAACGAUCUGUAGCUGGUCUGAGAGGACGACCAGCCACACUGGAACUGAGACACGGUCCAGACUCCUACGGGCGGCAGCAGUGGGGAAUUUUGGACAAUGGGCGAAAGCCUGAUCCAGCCAUUCCGCGUGCGUGAUGAAGGCCCUCGGGUUGUAAACUGCUUUUGUACAGAACGAAAAGGUUUCUACUAAUACUAGGAGCUCAUGACGGUACUGUAAGAAUAAGCACCGGCUAACUACGUGCCAGCCGCCGCAGUAA
rnacentral:rRNA from 1 species